UACGAAGGGGGCUAGCGUUGCUCGGAAUUAUUGGGAGUAAAGUGUACGUAGGCGGCGUGUUAAGUUGGUGGUGAAAUCCUGGAGCUCAACUCCAGAACUGCCUUCGAUACUGAGAGUCUCGAGUCCGAGAGAGGUGAGUGGAACUGCGAGUGUAGAGGUGAAAUUCGUAGAUAUUCGCAAGAACACCAGUGGCGAAGGCGGCUCACUGGCUCGGUACUGACGCUGAGGUGCGAAAGCGUGGGGAGCAAACAGG
rnacentral:rRNA from 1 species